rnacentral:lncRNA from 10 species
CAGCCCUCAGUCUUUCCAUGGGGAAAGCAUUCAGUCUCUAUGUAACAAAAAGGAAGGAAAUGGCCCUGGAAGUUUUAACUAAGGCUUGAGGUCCAGCUCAACAGCCAGUGAGUUACUUAAGCAAGGAACUUAAAACUUGGUGGCCAAAGGAUGGUCAGCCUGCCUCCAAGCAGUUACAGUGGAGGCUUUGCUGGUGUCAGAGGCCACUGGGUUAACCAUGGGAAAUAACUGUUUAACCCCACACAAUGUAACAGGACUGUUGUCCUCUAAGGAAAGUCUCUGGCUGACAAACAAUUGCCUCCUCAAAUACCAAGCUUUGCUGCUAAAGGGAUCUGCAGUCCAGCUGAAAACCUGCCCUUGCCUGAGCCCAGCCACUUUCUCCCAGAGAAAACUGGAGAACCUAAACAUGAUUGUGAACAGAAACCAUCAAGCUUCAGAUGGUGCUGAAAAUGGAGCCGAAAAUGAAACUGCCCUCCUACGAGGGACCCUUAAAUCAACCCCAGGAGGAGCCCUAGCUGCUGUUCCCCACACAACGCCACUCUCCAGCAGGAAGUAGCCAGAAGAAAUCGUCACCCAGUUUCCCCUAGCAGCAGCGCAGUAAGAUUGAGGAGCUAAAAACAGACUUGGGUGGAUGUCUGCAGCUGCAAGAAGAUGUGUGGGAACAGACACAGAAACUCUCCCUCCCAGAUAAGCAAGACAAAGAAACACAGAAUAAGAGUCCAUCUAUGUGGUCAGAGAAUGGGAUAAGAGCUGAUUUAAAAAAACUCUGCUCUAUAUAGAAGGCACACCUGGUCCCAACCAAACCACUGGACCCUAGGAGGAUAAGACCUCCUCUGCUCAUGAGCCCCCUCCUCAGUAGCCCAUUUAUAAAAACCCUGACAAUUUUACUACCACUUGGCAACCCGCUCGGGACCCCUCUCUGUGAUGGAGAGCUGUUCUUUUCUUUUGCCUAUUAAACUCCUGCUCCAAACUCACUGUGUGUGUGUCUGUCUGCAACCUCAAUCUCCUUGGCCAUGACACCAAAAACCUUAGUAUUUACCCCAGACAACAAGGCUGCUUCACCAGCCUUCUCACAUUAAAUUCCACACAUUGCAUGUCGGUGCUGUCACAGCUGUGUCUAUCACCACAGCAACAAGCAGACGGACUC